UACGGAGGGUGCGAGCGUUAAUCGGAAUAACUGGGCGUAAAGGGCACGCAGGCGGUCUUUUAAGUGAGAUGUGAAAUCCCCGGGCUUAACCUGGGAAUUGCAUUUCAGACUGGGAGUCUAGAGUCUUUUAGAGAGGGGUAGAAUUCCAGGUGUAGCGGUGAAAUGCGUAGAGAUGUGGAGGAAUACCGAUGGCGAAGGCAGCCCCUUGGGCAUGUACUGACGCUCAUGUGCGAAAGCGUGGGGAGCAAACAGG
rnacentral:rRNA from 1 species